rnacentral:snRNA from 1 species
UUUGUGGGCGGUAGCGGUUAGGU